rnacentral:lncRNA from 1 species
GAGAAAGGAAGGGGAAAGAAGAAAAACUACCAAGGGCAGGAGAGAUGGACAAGAAGGAGUUUAACCCAAGGUAGAGUGGAGAGAUACUGUUCCCAGCAUCUGGUUUACUGAAAGGAAUUCAACAAAACUGAAUGGAACUGACAGGGAGAAAGAACAACAAAUAAGCACUGUUUUUGUUUGCCUUUCUAAAAAUUUGCUUUUGACUUGGGGAAUUGAUAAGAGAGAGACAGUGAGAGGACAAGCACCUAGGAGGCUGUCACCACCAGGCAAUGAAGAAGAUGACUCAGCUCUGGACCUCGAAAGUGAAGGAAGCUGCCUCCUAGCUGCUGUGAGGGAAGGGGAGGGGCUGGUGUGCUACUCUCAGUCUCUGCCUGGGAGGCCACAAUGGUACAGGCUUCGAGUGAGCCUUAAAGAACAAGUGGCC